AUUUCAAAGUCAAGAAAAACUCUAAAUAGCUUAAUCUUCAUGAAAUAUCGAUAAAAAUUACAGACAACAUACAUUGUACAUACAUACAUGUAUUUUUACCUACAAUCUUGAAUACAUGCUAAAAGAAUCUUAAAGAAAUUGAACGUUCUCAAGAGAAUCGCGUGCGACUAUUCAUUCAAGAGUGUAAGAGUAAAAAAAAGAAAACAAAAAAAAGAAACAAAAAAUAGAAAAAAAGACAAACCAGACUCUCGUAGUGACACGUGCGUGAAUGUUCAUAGAACGCUUUUGCCAAGUUCGAAGCAUGCAACAUGGAAUGAAAAUACAUGCAUCUGUUGCCUCCCGGUAAUUAUGGUAGAGAGCUGGAUAACUAUAUGACGCACACGUGCACGUGGAAAUCCCAUAAAACCGUGUAACUAGCGAUAUUCACGCGCGUGUACGUAUAAUCACAGUGUCUCAGGGACUAGGUGAACGGAACGAAGCAAAAGAGAGGAUAGAGACCCUCGCCUUCGAAUGGCCAAACCGCACGAUAAUUACGUAGGGGAGAUGCUCCAUUGUUCUACGCUAAUUUUCUACCUGGUGCAUAUAUAUGUACGUCCGGUGGCUGUACUAAAGGUGAAAUUUCAUUGCAACUUCUGAACACACUACGAACACGCGGGAAAAGAAAGAUUGGCGUUCGAACGAAACAAAUGUAGAAGAUGAAUGGAGCGACACCUAUUAUAUGAAAUUAUGAAUUACUGGUAAAAGCGCUGUAAUCGGUGUAAAAUGAUACAACUUGUUAUUUGAAAUGCAAAGAAACUAGACGUCAUGUUGUAUUAUGAAAUUUAAAUCUUUAAGUUUCUUCUCUAAUUUAAAGCAUUUCUAAAACAUUCCUUUCAAAUGCCGUGACUCUCAUCACGGCUAUAAGCUACUAUGAAAGCAUUAUUUUUCUGAUCCAACCAUGUCAUAUUCAUAAAGAAUUGAAGGAAUGAACAAUAAAAUCAAAAAAUAAAUAAGACUAUUUCAAAUUUCUGGAAGAAUUAAUUUGUAAAACACUAUGGCUGUGUGGAGUUUGAAAGGUCAUUGCCCAAGGAUAAGCACACAUCGAUGCAAGAUAAUGAAGUUUCGGUUGACUCGAUAGAUCCGUGCACAAGAAGACAAUUCAAGCGCUCGUCAGGUUAAUUGAAUUUAUGGCUCGAUAUUCCGGGCGUAAGCGAUUACGAUCGACGAUAAGCCGAGUCGCGUGAACCUUCUACGCGAUGGAUCCUUAUUAACGAAUUCGCCUCGAACAAUACUUGGAGAUCGUCAAUCUAACUUUCUGAUUUUUCCUCUAUUUAAACAGAUUAUUAAGAUGGAAAAUCAUUGAUUCAAAUAUAAAAAAGGAAAUUGUCAUGGAAAUGAUAUAUGAGAAAUAAUCUAAAAUGUGCAAUCUUAAUAUAAAAUUAUU